AUGAACGCUGGCGGCGUGCCUAAUACAUGCAAGUCGAGCGAACGGACGAGAAGCUUGCUUCUCUGAUGUUAGCGGCGGACGGGUGAGUAACCCGUGGAUAACCUACCUAUAAGACUGGGAUAACUUCGGGAAACCGGAGCUAAUACCGGAUAAUAUUUUGAACCGCAUGGUUAAAAAGUGAAAGACGGUCUUGCUGUCACUUAUAGAUGGAUCCGCGCUGCAUUAGCUAGUUGGUAAGGUAACGGCUUACCAAGGCAACGAUGCAUAGCCGACCUGAGAGGGUGAUCGGCCACACUGGAACUGAGACACGGUCCAGACUCCUACGGGAGGCAGCAGUAGGGAAUCUUCCGCAAUGGGCGAAAGCCUGACGGAGCAACGCCGCGUGAGUGAUGAAGGUCUUCGGAUCGUAAAACUCUGUUAUUAGGGAAGAACAUAUGUGUAAGUAACUGUGCACAUCUUGACGGUACCUAAUCAGAAAGCCACGGCUAACUACGUG
rnacentral:rRNA from 1 species